UUUCCAGAGAUGGAUUGGUGCCGUUCGGGAACUCUGACACAGGUGCUGCAUGGCUGUCGUCAGCUCGUGUCGUGAGAUGGUUAGGGUUAACGUCCCGUAACGAGCGCCAACCCUUGUCCUUAGUUACCAGCACGUUAUGGUGGGCACUCUAAGGAGACUGCCGGUGACAAACCGGAGGAAGGUGGGGAUGACGUCAAGUCAUCAUGGCCCUUACGGCCUGGGCUACACACGUGCUACAAUGGUCGGUACAAAGGGUUGCCAAGCCGCGAGGUGGAGCUAAUCCCAUAAAACCGAUCGUAGUCCGGAUCGCAGUCUGCAACUCGACUGCGUGAAGUCGGAAUCGCUAGUAAUCGUGAAUCAGAAUGUCACGGUGAAUACGUUCCCGGGCCUU
rnacentral:rRNA from 1 species